AUUGGUAUUAUGCUAAUAUCUGCGUGCAGACCACUACUCCACCAUUCAGCACCUUUUCCUCCUGGUGUGAUAAGCCAUGACUCUCAAAUACCCUGUAACUAUCCCACAACUGGCAUGUUAAAGGACCACUAUACGCACUCGGACCACUUCAGCUCAAUGAAGUGGUCUGGGUACCAGGUCCAUCUGGGAUUAACCCUGCAG